UUUUGCCAUUAUUCUGUUUUAACAAUUUCUCUCCCACAUUAUUCGAUUCAAAACAACGAUUUACGCUCGACACACGUUCAUUUGCAGCUCCAUUUAUUAUUUGUAACUUUAUGAGUAAUAAAUUGUAAAGUGACUUGUGGGAAAUAUACGGUGUUAAUGAUGGAUAGUUAUGUCUUUGGUGUCAAUAGUGUACUGUGGUGAUGAUUAGUGUCAUGUGUGAUAUCAUUUGAUUGGGGAGUUGUAGAAGUGCAAUGCCAAAAUCCAAACCGAUUGAACCGGUAUCCGUAGGCAGCGCAAGACUCGAUAGAAAAUCGAGGCUUUCCCUUCCCGAAAAGGAAUUUCGCCAUGAGAAAGACAUACAGAGGAGGAAUACCAUAUCGGAAUACACGAACAAAGGAAGGAAAAAAGUUAAAGCACCCCUCACACCGACGAUUAUUGAAGA